CUUCGGACCAGUUUUGUCAUGAUCUAAUCGACGAGCUUCUGUCCAAUGGUAUAAUGCCAUUUGUGGUUCUAUUUCAUUGGGAUCUUCCGCAAGCCUUGGAAAGCGAAUACAUGGGUUUCUAAGUACUCAAAUUGUGGGGGACUUUUGUGAUUACGCGAACCUCUGCUUCUGGGAGUAUGGUGGUAAGGUGAAAAAUUGGAUUACACUAAACGAGCCAGCUAUCUACUGUUAUUGCGGAUAUGUAGACGGUACACAUGCACCCGGUCGAGGUCCUGC